rnacentral:tRNA from 1 species
AGGCGCGUGGCCUAGUGGUUAGAGCAUUCAGCUCAUGACUGCAAGGUCUGAGUUCGAUUCCCGGCGGCACUU